rnacentral:rRNA from 1 species
UACGUAGGGGGCAAGCGUUGUCCGGAAUCAUUGGGCGUAAAGAGCGUGUAGGCGGCCAGAUAAGUCCGCUGUGAAAUCUCGAGGCUCAACUUCGAGCUGCCGGUGGAAACUGUCUGGCUAGAGUCCGGAAGAGGAGAAUGGAAUUCCUGGUGUAGCGGUGAAAUGCGCAGAUAUCAGGAAGAACACCCGUGGCGAAGGCGGUUCUCUGGGACGGUACUGACGCUGAGACGCGAAAGCGUGGGGAGCGAACAGG